CGCAAGAUUAAAACUCAAAUGAAUUGACGGGGGCCCGCACAAGCGGUGGAGCAUGUGGUUUAAUUCGAUGCAACGCGAAGAACCUUACCUACUCUUGACAUCCAGAGAAUCUGGCGGAGACGCUGGAGUGCCUUCGGGAGCUCUGAGACAGGUGCUGCAUGGCUGUCGUCAGCUCGUGUUGUGAAAUGUUGGGUUAAGUCCCGCAACGAGCGCAACCCUUAUCCUUGUUUGCCAGCACGUAAUGGUGGGAACUCCAGGGAGACUGCCGGUGAUAAACCGGAGGAAGGUGGGGACGACGUCAAGUCAUCAUGGCCCUUACGAGUAGGGCUACACACGUGCUACAAUGGCGCAUACAGAGGGCGGCCAACUUGCGAAAGUGAGCGAAUCCCAAAAAGUGCGUCGUAGUCCGGAUUGGAGUCUGCAACUCGACUCCAUGAAGUCGGAAUCGCUAGUAAUCGUGGAUCAGAAUGCCACGGUGAAUACGUUCCCGGGCCUUGUACACACCGCCCGUCACACCAUGGGAGUGGGCUGCAAAAGAAGUGGGUAGUUUAACCUUCGGGAGGACGCUCA
rnacentral:rRNA from 1 species